CUCUAUAUGUGAUUGUUAGCUGGUCUCUGUUGUAGAUGACAGCCAUGUCUUUAGUUUUGCCAGCUAAACAAGCUUCCUUGCAGUUGCACUUAAUAUGUACAUACUGUACAGAAGAAUGUUUUACGCAUUUCUAUGAUCUGGACAUUUUAUGUUCCUUUGAAAUGUUUAAAAAAUAUUGUACUAAGGACUCAGGAUAAGUUUGCAGUUAGAAUGUCACACAAAGUAUUUCCUAGUAUGUUACGAAAAAAUUGCAAUGUUUGUGUGCACCAUUUGAAACCCUUGAUUAAAAAUGUUGUGGCUGUGGCAGGGGACAGCUAUUUUUGAUAGUGUAUUAAAAUGUGCGAAAUGAGCGCUGAAGUAUUGUUCUGUUGCAGGAUCAACUGGUAAAAGAUGAUGAUGAUGAGAGGAGUGCUAAUGGGUUUGGAGGACAGCAUCUACCUUGUAUCUGAUAUACGCCACUGGUGCACUGUGUGCCCAUAUUUGUUUAUUUUCUGUGCCACACUUCUGCAGUGUUCUUUCAGUUCACACAAUAGAUGGAACAUUACCCGAGAGUUCUUAUGAGAUACAUUCCGUUUGUUUGUUUGUUUGUUUGUUUAGAUUGUUUGUUUUGAGGGGAUGUUGUUUCGGUUUAAUGUCACGUAUGAUUUGAUCAUAUCACCACAUAGGCCUGCAUUAUAUUGCGUCAGAAUUUUUGUUAUUCAAACUUUAAAUGUGUUGUAUAAUGGUUAUUCAAUAAAGCUAUGAUAACUGGACAUGUUGCUAAGCACCAUAUAUUUGCCAGGCACACUACCCCGCUGCAUGUGUUCAUGUGGUGGAUGGCGCAGUUUCCUUGCUUUAUGAUAAAGAUGGAAAGAGAUAGAGAAGGGAAAAGAGGAGGCGUUUAUCCGUGCCGACAGAUUAUAUGUUCAAUGUUACCGUUAACAUUGUUGUAUCUGAGAGUUCAACCUUAUGUUGAACCUGAGGUACAAUGAGAGGUGACAGAACUGACUCUUCCUGUCACAACUUCCAUACUGUUCCAUCUCUACCCUUUUCAUAAUGAUUCUGGAACAUUCUUGUGUUCCUGGGGCGGGUGGAGUUGAGGGCGUAGAGACAUCCAUCAGCAUGAGUGUCAUAUCAUCUCUCCGAAGCUUUUGAUCAGAAGUGUGUUGGUUGACGUAGCACUAGCUGCCCCCACACUCUCUGGCUUCUUACUGGAGAAUUACUGGGAACCUCAGCAGAAGUGGGGGGAAAAAAUUGCCCAAUGUCUUCCAGGGCAAAGUUAGACGGAUGUGUAGAAAACAGUCAGUGAGAUAUUUUCCUUUAGUUCAGAUGUUGGUUAGGUCGGUGUCUGAACAGAACAGAACAACUGUGUAGACCGCAAAUAUGUUUGAUUCUUUGGAGAUUUCAGUAUGAAUGAACUAAAUUAUAAUAAAAUAAAGACAAAAGAAAAUAUAAGAAAAAAAGGUGAGUGCUAUUUCUGUUGACUUAGAUUUGUUUUGGGACACAUUGAGUCUGUGGAGGACUGAGUUCAACUCCGCUUUGAAUGCAUUUGAAGGCCCGUGUAGAUGACUGUCCUUGUAUCUGACAUUUAAAGCGUCAAAAAAGAGUCUUUUUCAUUAAACAAGAAUUCAUAUUUGGAUUUAAAAAUGUAUGCUCUGGGUAUUAUCUAUGCAUGCUCAGGACCUCUGGGUUCAUCGUGUUCUCAUACAUAUAUUGAAAACCAAUAAGCAUCCUAUUGUGUUCUUCCAUAUUUAGCGCAUUCCUCUGCACAUUGACAAGACAAGACAAGUAACGCUAGG
ensembl:lncRNA